rfam:TPA: Bos taurus chromosome 20, whole genome shotgun sequence.
UCCCUAGUGGCUUAGAGAGUAAAGAAUCUGCCUGCGAUGCAGGAGACCUGGGUUCUAUCCCUGGAUUGGGAA